rnacentral:ribozyme from 1 species
GGUAUAUAUAUAUAGACCAAAAGAGAGAACACCAAAGUAAAAGAAGAAAACAGAAAAUGGGGCGCUACUUCAUAUGCUAUAUGCUACACUGCUUUCGUGUGGCUUCUUCUAUGCUUCCUGCUCGUAUUCAAUAAUUUUCGUAACUGAU